CCUUGAAGACUCUUUUCUCCUUGGAGGAUGAGUUGGUGGCCCUUUGAGGACAGCCAGGCUGUGAAGAUUGAAGAAGAAAGAAACGUGGAUCCUCACCCACCCUAGUCCCCCAAGGAGGACCGAAGCCACACCCCAGUAAGUGGGGAUGAGUAACCCCAAGUCCAUGCUGAGAAGGAACCAACACCACCACCGCCCUGUGCAACUCCGGAAAACAGUGGAGCCUGGCGAGGCAUCCAGGAUGUUUUAUCCGAAGGCCGUGAAAUGGACAGAGAGCAGAGGAGCAGCAGAGACAAGCCUUUGGAAGACUGCAGCCAUUCUCGGCUUGGCUGGGCCCUCCUCUCCGCUCCACCACCAGUGCCUCAGUUCCAGCCCCAGGGCUCCAGAAACAAACCCCUGACGUGAUGUGAACUGCCAGGGUGUCGCACAUCCAUCUGACAGCUCACCUGAGCACAGCAAGACUUUGGCUUAACAAGACCCUCAAAUGAGGAGCACGGGCAGACCUCCAAGAGGCCCCACCCUGGGCAUGAAGUGAGAUUGUUCUCCAUCACCCCACCCCAGGCUUCUUGAAGUCAAAUGAGCAUAAGCACAAGCCAGGAGGUC